UACGUAGGGGGCAAGCGUUGUCCGGAAUCAUUGGGCGUAAAGCGCGUGUAGGCGGCUUGGUAAGUCCGCUCUGAAAGCCCGGGGCUCAACCCCGGGAGGCGGGUGGAUACUGUCAAGCUCGAGUCCGGAAGAGGCGAGUGGAAUUCCUGGUGUAGCGGUGAAAUGCGCAGAUAUCAGGAGGAACACCAAUUGCGAAGGCAGCUCGCUGGGACGUUACUGACGCUGAGACGCGAAAGCGUGGGGAGCAAACAGG
rnacentral:rRNA from 1 species